rnacentral:miRNA from 1 species
GGGUGUGGGAUGGGCUUGGGCAGCGAGGGCUGGGGGUCCAGCCCAUCUCCCACUCCUCACCCGUGGCUUUCCCUCCU